ensembl:snRNA U6 U6 spliceosomal RNA
GUGCUUGCUUCAGCAGCACCUAUACUAAAAUUGAAAUGAUACAGAGAAAAAUAGCAUGGCCUCUGUGCAAGGAUGACACACAAAAUAGAAGUUAUAGUUCACAUAUCA